rnacentral:tRNA from 1 species
GCCCCACUAGCUCAGUUGGAUAGAGCAGCGGACUUCUAAUCCGCCGGUCGGAGGUUCGAACCCUCCGUGGGGCGCCA